rnacentral:misc_RNA from 1 species
AACGGUCUAUACCUGCGGUACCUGCGGAGGGAUCAUUACUGAAGGAAUGGUGUAGGGUUGAGCUGGCUCCCUUUCAAAGGAGUAUGUGCUUGCCCUUACCACUUUUUCUAUUCUCCACUGUGCACCUUUUGUAGGCUAUGAUAACUCUCAGCCCCUAUCUAUUACAGGAUAGGGGGUUGGAUGGAGGACUUGCACCACACUUGGGCUUGACCUCUCUUUCGUGGCCUAUGCCUUUCAUAU